rnacentral:rRNA from 1 species
AUUGAACGCUGGCGGCAUGCUUUACACAUGCAAGUCGAACGGUAACAGGCCGCAAGGUGCUGACGAGUGGCGAACGGGUGAGUAAUGCAUCGGAACGUGCCCAGUCGUGGGGGAUAACGCAGCGAAAGCUGCGCUAAUACCGCAUACGAUCUAUGGAUGAAAGCGGGGGACCGUAAGGCCUCGCGCGAUUGGAGCGGCCGAUGUCAGAUUAGGUAGUUGGUGGGGUAAAGGCUCACCAAGCCAACGAUCUGUAGCUGGUCUGAGAGGACGACCAGCCACACUGGGACUGAGACACGGCCCAGACUCCUACGGGAGGCAGCAGUGGGGAAUUUUGGACAAUGGGCGCAAGCCUGAUCCAGCAAUGCCGCGUGCAGGAAGAAGGCCUUCGGGUUGUAAACUGCUUUUGUACGGAACGAAAAGGCUCUGGUUAAUACCUGGGGCCCAUGACGGUACCGUAAGAAUAAGCACCGGCUAACUACGUGCCAGCCGCCGCCGUAAUAC